UGCUCAUAAGUUUUCUUACUUUGAGAAAAAAAAAGUUUACUGGGUGUCAAAUUAAUUUUUUUAUGAGUUCAACUUUUUACGAUGUUGUAUAUUCUGCACUCGAUUUAUCAUUCUUAUUUAUUCGUUCUUAUUUUCUUGUAAUUCAAAAUCAAAUAAUGGUAGUUACUUGAUAUUUUGGCGGAAUUCUUAUGCGAGAAUUUUCCAUACACUUUCAUGAUUCAUGACUAUUGUUGACUUUUUAAGUUAUUUAUAAAUUAUAAGGCGAUCUCACACGUUGCUCCGUGAUUGGUUGAAUCUUGUGAUUACCUAGCGGUUAACCAUAGUGGUUUUAACUAAAUACCAUGCUAUAUUGUAGAUACCAGAAAGCAGAAUCUAAUCCUACUUAAGUCAAAAGUUUAAUUAAGUUAAGUUUACAAUUAUUACGUAGUUACUGGUUAUCACGAUUUAAGAUUUAAGAUAUAAAUUAUAAUACAAUACUAACUGCCAAUGAAACUCGCUGUCGUGAAACUCGGGGGCUUGUGAGACUCGGUGAUGCUGACUACAAUGUCUUUGAAAUUACUUAUAGAAGUCUCUCCCGUUGACGUCAUGGGUGUUAAAAAACAAAAAUUUAGGAGGUGAUAAGGAUUUUUGAUAAGUCUUGGAGGUCUCGUUUCGAGCGCGGGAAUGUUUGAAAUUCCAGUUUCAGUGUCUAGAAAUCUCACUUCACCCACGAAAAUCGGCAAUUGAAUAAUACGGUUCCCCGUCGUAUGUCCAGUGCUUUUUCGUAUGUAAAAAAAUGAAAAUUCGAAAUCUGUGUUGGAAUGACUAGCAAGUCCGUCGCCUCAAGCGAAAAUCGUUUAACAUUCAAGUUAGCUAUCUAGGUAAGCAAUCCGACUUCGUCGGAUCGCAGACAAUGUCUUACAGCUAAUCAGGAAAAUAUUGGACACAUAAUUGGAAAAGACCCAAUAAUCUUUGACGAUAUAUUUUUAGAUGGAAAAAAAAUAUAUAAUAAUUACUAACCCAAGAAAUUGCUAUGGAGUGGAGAAAACCGUAGAGCACAUACUGUAGUCAUUAAUCGUUAUGUUGCCGGUAUAGGCGGUGGAACACAUACAACAAGACAACAAAGUCAGCCACAGAUAAAUAUUCCAAUGAUCAGAUAUUCGUGACAGUGAUGAUAAUAUGAAAUGACCCAUCAAUGGUGGCCAUUAAAAUAAUAUUAUUAUUUAUCACCAAUGUUACAUACUUACCUAGGUUAUGUACAAGAUAGUUUUUGUAAUAGGGUUCCAAAAUGUAAUCAGGGUAAUUUUUUUUCAUCAUUUGCCCAUUUUUUCUUCAUUAUAGUAAAUACGUGUAUUUGAUGUAUACAUGAGGAUGAAGGGUUAUUUUAUGUUUGAUAUUUUAAUGAAUUAAAGAAAUUCAAAGCUGAAAAUAGUUUUUGUCAUGUACAUACUAACAAUAUACAUACAUUAUCUCCAUAGAUAUUAUGUUAGGUAUACACAUUAGGGUUUUCAAUGUUUUCAUAAUAUAUUUUAAGUUUUAGACAUUGAGUAUGAAUCAUGUACAAUUUUGUCAAAAGGGGGCAAAAAUAUAUCCUUAAAUAUGAUUGCUCUCAGAUUUCGAUGAGGUAAUAGGUAAAUUCUGGACACCCUUACUGGUUAUUCUUCUAUAAGAAAUUCCUAAAUAUUACGAUGUGCUUAACUACAUUAAUAAUAGUAGUAAUAAUUAAUAAAUUAUAUAAGUGAU